rnacentral:rRNA from 1 species
AACGAACGCUGGCGGCAUGCCUAACACAUGCAAGUCGAACGAGACCUUCGGGUCUAGUGGCGCACGGGUGCGUAACACGUGGGAAUUUGCCUCGGGGUAUGGAAUAACUCAGGGAAACUUGAGCUAAUACCAUAUAAUGUCUUCGGACCAAAGAAUUUAUCGCCCUGAGAUAAGCCCGCGUAGGAUUAGCUAGUUGGUGGGGUAAAGGCUCACCAAGGCGACGAUCCUUAGCUGGUCUGAGAGGAUGAUCAGCCACGCUGGGACUGAGACACGGCCCACGACUCCUACGGAGGCAGCAGUGGGGAAUAAUUGGACCAAAUGGGCGGAAAGACCUGAUCCAGCAAUGCCGCGUGAGUGAUGAAGGCC